rnacentral:rRNA from 1 species
AUUGAACGCUGGCGGCAUGCCUUACACAUGCAAGUCGAACGGCAGCACGGGAGCAAUCCUGGUGGCGAGUGGCGAACGGGUGAGUAAAGUAUCGGAACGUGCCCAGUCGUGGGGGAUAACGUAGCGAAAGUUACGCUAAUACCGCAUACGAUCUAUGGAUGAAAGCGGGGGAUCGCAAGACCUCGCGCGAUUGGCGCGGCCGAUAUCCGCUUAGGUAGUUGGUGGGGUAAAGGCUCACCAAGCCGACCAUCUGUAGCUGGUCUGAGAGGACGACCAGCCACACGGGGACUGCGACACGGCCCAGACUCCGACGGGAGGCAGCAGUGGGGAAUUUUGGACAAUGGGCGCAAGCCUGAUCCAGCCAUGCCGCGUGCAGGAUGAAGGCCUUCGGGUUGUAAACUGCUUGUGUACGGAGCGAAAAGGUUUGGGCUAAUAAGCUGAGCUCAUGACGGUACCGUAAGAAUAAGCACCGGCUAACUACGUGCCAGCCGCCGCCGUAA